rnacentral:rRNA from 1 species
CCUGGCGGUAAUAGCGCGGUGGCACCACCUGACUCCAUGCCGAACUCAGUAGUGAAACGCCGUAGCGCCGAUGGUAGUGUGGGGUUUCCCCAUGUGAGAGUAGGACGCUGCCAGGU